rnacentral:rRNA from 1 species
GAUGAACGCUGACAGAAUGCUUAACACAUGCAAGUCUACUUGAACUUCGGUUUGGGUGGCGGACGGGUGAGUAACGCGUAAAGAACUUACCUCACAGUUAGGGACAACAUUUGGAAACGAAUGCUAAUACCUGAUAUUAUGAUUUUAGGGCAUCCUAAGAUUAUGAAAGCUAUAUGCGCUGUGAGAGAGCUUUGCGUCCCAUUAGCUAGUUGGAGAGGUAACGGCUCGCCAAGGCGAUGAUGGGUAGCCGGCCUGAGAGGGUGAACGGCCACAAGGGGACUGAGACACGGCCCUUACUCCUACGGGAGGCAGCAGUGGGGAAUAUUGGACAAUGGACCAAAAGUCUGAUCCAGCAAUUCUGUGUGCACGAUGACGUUUUUCGGAAUGUAAAGUGCUUUCAGUUGGGAAGAAAAAAAUGACGGUACCAACAGAAGAAGUGACGGCUAAAUACGUG